rnacentral:rRNA from 1 species
CGGCACGGGUGAGUAACACGUAUCCAACCUGCCGUCUACUCUUGGACAGCCUUCUGAAAGGAAGAUUAAUACAAGAUGGCAUCAUGAGUUCACAUGUUCACAUGAUUAAAGGUAUUCCGGUAGACGAUGGGGAUGCGUUCAUUAGAUAGUAGGCGGGGUAACGGCCCACCUAGUCUUCGAUGGAUAGGGGUUCUGAGAGGAAGGUCCCCCACAUUGGAACUGAGACACGGUCCAA